GACGAACGCUGGCGGCGUGCUUAACACAUGCAAGUCGAACGGAAAGACCCUGCUUUUGUGGGGUGCUCGAGUGGCGAACGGGUGAGUAACACGUGAGUAACCUGCCCUUGACUUUGGGAUAACUUCAGGAAACUGGGGCUAAUACCGGAUAGGAGCUCCUGCUGCAUGGUGGGGGUUGGAAAGUUUCGGCGGUUGGGGAUGGACUCGCGGCUUAUCAGCUUGUUGGUGGGGUAGUGGCUUACCAAGGCUUUGACGGGUAGCCGGCCUGAGAGGGUGACCGGCCACAUUGGGACUGAGAUACGGCCCAGACUCCUACGGGAGGCAGCAGUGGGGAAUAUUGCACAAUGGGCGGAAGCCUGAUGCAGCACCGCCGCGUGCGGGAUGACGGCCUUCGGGUUGUAAACCGCUUUCGCCUGUGACGAAGCGUGAGUGACGGUAAUGGGUAAAGAAGCACCGGCUAACUACGUG
rnacentral:rRNA from 1 species